CUCCCCUUAUAGGCAAAGCACGCGCUGACCCAUCAGCCUUUCUGCUUCGUCUUUCCCCUCCUGGAGGGCUGCGUCCCAUCGAUGCUUCUGUACACGUGUCCCGAGCUGAUCCUCAGAAUGAAAAAUAACAAAGCAGGAGAUAGCGGGGCCAGCUGGUUGCUGAGUGCACGUUGGUACUUCUCAGAGGGCUGAAACUCAUCCUCCCUUGGCCACCUCUGCCCGCGCCAGGUUUUGUUGUGAACCCGUGCAGAAAACAGGAGAGCAUCUGUCUCAAGCUUGGCACUCAAGCACUGCGAGCUCGGCUGCUCGCCCCGUGAUGCUCACAGAGUUAUCUGUCUCCACUGCUCCACUUCUCUGACCCUUUAUCUCUGUAACUGGAGCAGCCAGCGGCAAUGGGAAUUGUGUAACCAUCUCCCCACUUCCCCGGUGCCUGGGACAGGUCUGGUUACUCUGACAGUGUGUCUCGUGGGAUACGCAGAGUGACUCUGUUGGAUUGGGCCAGUUAUAAAUAAACUGGCUGCUCGCUAUGGGAAGAAAUUAAUAAGUCAUUGUUUCAGUUAUCGGAAGAUGCAUGACACACCAGUAGUUGAGUGAAUGUUAAACUAUCAGGCAAAUAUUAAACUAUCAGAAAAAUAAAUACCAUUAUAUUACGAGCUAUUUCGAGACCUCUGAUGACAUUUACACAACUGCUGGACUUAACG
ensembl:lncRNA